GUGAGGAAUAUUGGGCAAUGGGCGAAAGCCUGACCCAGCCACGCCGCGUGAGUGAUGAAGGCCUUCGGGUCGUAAAGCUCUGUUGCAGGGGAAUAAAAAAAUGAAGGUACCCUGUGAGGAAGGAUCGGCUAACUUCGUGCCAGCAGCCGCGGUAAGACGAGGGAUCCUAGCGUUGCUCGGAAUCAUUGGGCGUAAAGAGGGCGUAGGUGGCUUGGUAAGUCAGGUGUGAAAGCCCAGGGCUCAACCCUGGAAGUGCAUUUGAUACUGCUGAGCUUGAGUGUCGGAGAGGUUACCGGAAUACCUGGUGUAGUGGUGAAAUACGUAGAUAUCAGGUGGAACACCGGAGGCGAAGGCGGGUAACUGGACGAACACUGACACUGAGGCCCGAAAGCGUGGGGAUCAAACAGGAUUAGAAACCCGGGUAGUCC
rnacentral:rRNA from 1 species